CAAGAAAUAGUUUAUUUAAAAUAUUAAUUUUGGGGAUUAAUGAUGGAAUUAUUAUUUCUUUCUUGA
rnacentral:tRNA from 1 species